GAUGAACGCUAGCUACAGGCUUAACACAUGCAAGUCGAGGGGCAGCAUGAACUUAGCUUGCUAAGUUUGAUGGCGACCGGCGCACGGGUGAGUAACACGUAUCCAACCUUCCGUUUACUCAGGGAUAGCCUUUCGAAAGAAAGAUUAAUACCUGAUAGUAUGGUGAGAUUGCAUGAUAGCACCAUUAAAGAUUAUUGUAAACGAUGGGGAGUGCGUUCCAUUAGGUAGUAGGCGGGGUAACGGCCCACCUAGCCGACGAUGGAUAGGGGUUCUGAGAGGAAGGUCCCCCACAUUGGAACUGAGACACGGUCCAAACUCCUACGGGAGGCAGCAGUGAGGAAUAUUCGGUCAAUGGACGAGAGUCUGAACC
rnacentral:rRNA from 1 species